UGAACCUGCGGAGGGAUCAUUACACAAAUAUGAAGGCGGGCUGGAACCUCUCGGGGUUACAGCCUUGCUGAAUUAUUCACCCUU
rnacentral:rRNA from 1 species